rnacentral:rRNA from 1 species
UAUGAAGGUCAGGCUGAAGACCUUACCCGAUUAGCUGAGAGGUGGUGCAUGGCCGUCGUCAGUUCGUACUGUGAAGCAUCCUGUUAAGUCAGGCACGAGCGAGACCCACGUCCACAGUUGCCAGCAUACCCUCCGGGGUGAUGGGUACACUGUGGAGACCGCCGCUGCUAAAGCGGAGGAAGGAGUGGGCAACGGUAGGUCAGUAUGCCCCGAAUCUCCCGGGCUACACGCGGGCUACAAUGGUUGGUACAAUGGGCAUCUACCCCGAAAGGGGAAGGAAAUCUCUUAAAGCCAAUCGUAGUUCGGAUUGAGGGCUGCAACUCGCCCUCAUGAAGCUGGAAUCCGUAGUAAUCGCGUUUCAACAGAACGCGGUGAAUACGUCCCUGCUCCUU